rnacentral:tRNA from 1 species
AGGUAUUGUGUCUGAUAAAAGUAAUAGAUUGUAAAUUUAUUUAUGAGAAGUAGUUUCUUCAAUACU